GCAUAAUCACUAGUUUUUUAAUUGGAAGCUUGGAUGAAGGGUUGGACGAGAAGUUAGCUGUCUUUAUUAAAGGAGUAGAAUUUAACUUUUAAGUGAGAGGGCUUAAAUAUUUUAAAGGGACGAUAAGACCCUAUAAAAUUUAACGAUUGAAAUUAUACAAAGAGUAGGAUAAUGUUAAAAGUUGUUGUUAAAAAUUAUAUUGUUUUGUUGGGGCGAUAGGAAUAAAAGAUAGAUUAACUGUUCUUUAGUUGGAUUUCAAUAGUAUUUGCAGUUUUUGAUCCUUACUAGAGAUUAGAAGAGAAAAUUACUUUAGGGAUAACAGCGUAAUUUUUUUUGAGAGUUCUUAUCGACAAAAAAGUUUGCGACCUCGAUGUUGAAUUAA
rnacentral:rRNA from 1 species